UACAGAGGUCCCGAGCGUUGUUCGGAUUCAUUGGGCGUAAAGGGUGCGUAGGCGGCGGGGCAAGUCUGAUGUGAAAUCCCGGGGCUCAACCCCGGAACUGCAUUGGAUACUGCCUUGCUUGAGUACUGGAGAGGGAACUGGAAUUUACGGUGUAGCAGUGAAUGCGUAGAGAUCGUAAGGAAGGCCAGUGGCGAAGGCGAGUUCCUGGACAGUGACUGACGCUGAGGCACGAAGGCCAGGGGAGCAAACGGG
rnacentral:rRNA from 1 species